CCUUCAAUAGUUCAGCUGGUAGAGCAGAGGACUAUAGGUCCUUAGGUUGCUGGUUCGAUUCCAGCUUGAAGGA
rnacentral:tRNA from 2 species